CUCAAUAAAUUUCUAAUCCAAUUAGAAAUUAACUGAAUCCAAAUUCUGAUUGAAUCAGAAAUUAGUUUUCCUUGCAUUCAAGCUGGAUCCAAUCAAAUCCAAUCCAAGUCAAACUGAAUCCAAUUCAAUUAGACUUAAUUUGAACCUCAUUGCUCAAUACAAUUGAGCCAAUUAGCAAUUCAAUUACUGAUUAAUACUCCUAUAAUUUACUAACACUUAGUGG
rnacentral:lncRNA from 1 species